GACGAACGCUGGCGGCGUGCUUAACACAUGCAAGUCGAGCGGUAAGGCCUCUUCGGGGGUACACGAGCGGCGAACGGGUGAGUAACACGUGGGUGACCUGCCCUCAGCUCUGGGAUAAGCCUGGGAAACUGGGUCUAAUACCGGAUAUGACCACAUGUUGCAUGGUGUGUGGUGGAAAGUUUUUUCGGCUGGGGAUGGGCCCGCGGCCUAUCAGCUUGUUGGUGGGGUGAUGGCCUACCAAGGCGACGACGGGUAGCCGGCCUGAGAGGGCGACAGGCCACACUGGGACUGGGACACGGCCCAGACUCCUACGGGAGGCAGCAGUGGGGAAUAUUGCGCAAUGGGCGGAAGCCUGACGCAGCGACGCCGCGUGGGGGAUGACGGCCUUCGGGUUGUAAACCUCUUUCGACCGGGACGAAGCGUAAGUGACGGUACCGGUAGAAGAAGCACCGGCCAACUACGUG
rnacentral:rRNA from 1 species